rnacentral:rRNA from 1 species
ACGUAGGGGGCAAGCGUUAUUCGGAAUUAUUGGGCGUAAAGAGUGCGUAGGCGGUUUUUUAAGCGUGAGGUGAAAGCCAAUAGCUUAACCAUUGUACGCCUUGCGAACUGGGAGACUUGAGUGCAGGAGAGGAAAGUGGAAUUCUUCGUGUAGCGGUGAAAUGCGUAGAUAUUAGGAGGAACACCAGUGGCGAAGGCGACUUUCUGGACUGUAACUGACACUGAGGCACGAAAGCGUGGGGAGCAAACAG